rnacentral:rRNA from 1 species
AUUGAACGCUGGCGGCAGGCCUAACACAUGCAAGUCGAGCGGAGCGGCGGACGGGUGAGUAAUGCCUAGGAAUCUGCCUGGUAGUGGGGGAUAACGUCCGGAAACGGGCGCUAAUACCGCAUACUAUCAGAUGAGCCUAGGGCGGAUUAGCUAGUUGGGUGGGUAAAGGCCGCCCAAGGCGACGAUCCGUAACUGGUCUGAGAGGAUGAUCAGUCACACUGUACCUGAGACACGGUCCAGACUCCUACGGUAGGCAGCAGUGGGGAUUAUGGGACAAUGGGCGACAGCCUGGUCCAGCCCUGCCGCGUGUGUGAAGAAGGUCUUCGGAUUGUCAAUCACUUGAAGUUGGGAGGCGUUACCAACAGUAUAAGCACCGGCUAACUUCGUUCCAGCCGCCGCGGUGAUUC